rnacentral:rRNA from 1 species
CGGUGUUCAACUGGCGUGUCCGCGGGACGUCCUGCCGGUGGGCUUAGCCCGCAAGGGCGGCCCAACUUCAAAUCCCAUCGCGGUGCUCUUCACUGAGUGUCGAGGUGGGCCGGCACGUUUACUUUGAACAAAUUAGAGUGCUUAAAGCAGGCUAAAACUUCGCCUGAAUACUGUGUGCAUGGAAUAAUGGAAUAGGACCUCGGUUCUAUUUUGUUGGUUUUCGGAACCCCGAGGUAAUGAUUAAUAGGAACGGAUGGGGGCAUUCGUAUUGCGACGUUAGAGGUGAAAUUCUUGGAUCGUCGCAAGACGGACAGAAGCGAAAGCAUUUGCCAAAAACGCUUUCAUUGAUCAAGAACGAAAGUUAGAGGUUCGAAGGCGAUCAGAUACCGCCCUAGUUCUAACCAUAAACGAUGCCAGCUAGCGAUCCGUCGACGUUCCUCCGAUGACUCGACGGGCAGCUUCCGGGAAACCAAAGCUUUUGGGUUCCGGGGGAAGUAUGGUUGCAAAGCUGAAACUUAAAGGAAUUGACGGAAGGGCACCACCAGGAGUGGAGCCUGCGGCUUAAUUUGACUCAACACGGGAAACCUCACCAGGCCCGGACACCGGGAAGGAUUGACAGAUUGAGAGCUCUUUCUUGAUUCGGUGGGUGGUGGUGCAUGGCCGUUCUUAGUUGGUGGAGCGAUUUGUCUGGUUAAUUCCGAUAACGAACGAGACUCUAGCCUGCUAACUAGGCGUAUUUUCGACAUCUCAAAGGUCCGUCGUCCCGGCCCUCGGGUCGUGGGCGUGCGCGAUUUUUACUGUCGGCGUACUAUCAAUUCUUCUAGAGGGACAGGUGGCUUCUAGCCGCACGAGAUUGAGCAAUAACAGGUCUGUGAUG